rnacentral:rRNA from 1 species
GUAGGGGGCAAGCGUUAUCCGGAUUUACUGGGUGUAAAGGGAGCGUAGACGGCUGUGCAAGUCUGAAGUGAAAGGCAUGGGCUCAACCUGUGGACUGCUUUGGAAACUGUGCAGCUAGAGUGUCGGAGAGGUAAGUGGAAUUCCUAGUGUAGCGGUGAAAUGCGUAGAUAUUAGGAGGAACACCAGUGGCGAAGGCGGCUUACUGGACGGUAACUGACGUUGAGGCUCGAAAGCGUGGGGAGCAAACAGGAUUAGAUACCCUGGUAGUCCACGCCGUAAACGGUGGGCGCUAGGUGUGGGUUCCUUCCACGGAAUCCGUGCCGUAGCUAACGCAUUAAGCGCCCCGUCUGGGGAGU